UUAUAAUGGAUCCUCACAUACACAAGUAAAUGCACUAGGCAAUGGGUAUGAGUGACCAAUGAGGUCUUACACUCUACCCCUUCCAUGUCAUGGGAACAGAUGCCACCUUACAGGGACUUAUAACUGGUUCCUCAAUGGGUAAGCAAACAAUGUCACAAGGACAAAUGACAUGAACAUGCACUAAUGGCAAUCAAAGGUAAAAUGCAC
rnacentral:lncRNA from 1 species